rnacentral:rRNA from 1 species
GGAACCUUCGGGUUUUAGUGGCGAACGGGUGAGUAACACGUAAGCAACCUACCCUAAAGACGAGGAUAACCAUUGGAAACAGUGGCUAAGACUGGAUAGGAAGAUAAAAGGCAUCUUUUAUCUUUUAAAAGACCUAGUAAUAGGUAUGCUUUAGGAGGGGCUUGCGCCAUAUUAGUUAGUUGGUAGGGUAAUGGCCUACCAAGACGAUGAUGUGUAGCUGGACUGAGAGGUUGAACAGCCACAUUGGGACUGAGACACGGCCCAAACUCCUACGGGAGGCAGCAGUAGGGAAUUUUCGGCAAUGGAGGAAACUCUGACCGAGCAACGCCGCGUGAAUGACGAAGUACUUCGGUAUGUAAAGUUCUUUUAUCAAGGAAGAAAAGCAAAUGGCGAACCAUUUGUUUGCCGGUACUUGAUGAAUAAGCCCCGGCUAAUUAUGUGCCAGCAGCCGCGGUAAGACAUAAGGGGCAAGUGUUAUCCGGAAUUAUUGGGCGUAAAGGGUGCGUAGGCGGGUCUAGGAAGUCAGUGGUGUAAUGGCAACGCUUAACGUUGUCCGGCUAUUGAAACUGCUAAACUUGAGUUAGAUAGAGGCGAGUGGAAUUCCAUGUGUAGCGGUAAAAUGCGUAAAUAUAUGGAGGAACACCAGAGGCGUAGGCGGCUCGCUGGGUCUUAACUGACGCUGAGGCACGAAAGCGUGGGGAGCAAACAGGAUUAGAUACCCUGGUAGUCCACGCCGUAAACGAUGAGUACUAAGUGUCGGGUUAAACCGGUACUGAAGUUAACACAUUAAGUACUCCGCCUGAGUAGUACGUACGCAAGUAUGAAACUUAAAGGAAUUGACGGGACUCCGCACAAGCGGUGGAUCAUGUUGUUUAAUUCGAAGAUACCCGAAAAACCUUACCAGGUCUUGACAUGUUUUUGCAAAAUGAUAGUAAUAUCGUGGAGGUUACCAGAAACACAGGUGGUGCAUGGUUGUCGUCAGCUCGUGUCGUGAGAUGUUAGGUUAAGUCCUAAAACGAGCGAAACCCUUAUCGUUAGUUGCCAGCACGUUAUGGUGGGGACUUUAACGAGACUGCCAAUGAUAAAUUGGAGGAAGGUGAGGAUCACGUCAAAUCAGCAUGCCCCUUAUGACCUGGGCUACAAACGUGAUACAAUGGCUGUUACAAAGGGUAGCUGAAACGCAAGUUCUUGGCCAAUCCCCAAAAACAGUCCCAGUCCGGAUUGAAGUCUGCAACUCGACUUCAUGAAGUUGGAAUCGCUAGUAAUCGCGAAUCAGCAUGUCGCGGUGAAUACGUUCUCGGGGUUUGUACACACCGCCCGUCAAACCA